AAUAGCCGGGGAUGUGCGUUAAUCCGUUAUAAAUUCAACCGACAUAUUAGAUACGGGAGCCGGAGUUUUAUAUUGGGAUGAUAAGCCUUGUUUAAGGACUUCUGAACAUAUGGACCUCGCACCCACCUGAGGUUUCUCGGGUAUGAAUUUUGGCAGAUGACGGCAUUCCGGGCGACUU
rnacentral:other from 1 species